UUCUUAGAAACUAAAUUAUAGUAUUGGUCUCUUAAACCAAUUGAAGAAUAAUAAUUCCUAAGGAU
rnacentral:tRNA from 1 species